rnacentral:rRNA from 1 species
GAUGAACGCUGGCGGCGUGCCUAAUACAUGCAAGUCGAGCGAACAGACGAGGAGCUUGCUCCUCUGACGUUAGCGGCGGACGGGUGAGUAACACGUGGAUAACCUACCUAUAAGACUGGGAUAACUUCGGGAAACCGGAGCUAAUACCGGAUAAUAUAUUGAACCGCAUGGUUCAAUAGUGAAAGACGGUUUUGCUGUCACUUAUAGAUGGAUCCGCGCCGCAUUAGCUAGUUGGUAAGGUAACGGCUUACCAAGGCAACGAUGCGUAGCCGACCUGAGAGGGUGAUCGGCCACACUGGAACUGAGACACGGUCCAGACGCCUACGGGAGGCAGCAGUAGGGAAUCUUCCGCAAAGGGCGAAAGCCUGACGGAGCAACGCCGCGUGAGUGAUGAAGGUCUUCGGAUCGUAAAACUCUGUUAUGAGGGAAGAACAAAUGUGUAAGUAACUAUGCACGUCUUGACGGUACCUAAUCAGAAAGCCACGGCUAACUACGUG